CGAGGAAUAUUGGUCAAUGGGCGCAAGCCUGAACCAGCCAUCCCGCGUGAAGGAAGAAGGCGCUAUGCGUUGUAAACUUCUUUUCCAGGGGGAGAAUUUUUCCGUCGUGACGGGAAUUGACGGUACUCUGGGAAUAAGCAUCGGCUAACUCCGUGCCAGCAGCCGCGGUAAUACGGAGGAUGCGAGCGUUAUCCGGAUUUAUUGGGUUUAAAGGGUGCGUAGGCGGAUUGAUAAGUCAGUGGUGAAAGGCUGCAGCUUAACUGUAGACUUGCCGUAGAUACUGUCAGUCUUGAGUAUGGUCAAGGCAGGCGGAAUGUGUAAUGUAGCGGUGAAAUGCUUAGAUAUUACACAGAACACCGAUUGCGAAGGCAGCUUACUGGGCCAUCACUGACGCUCAUGCACGAAAGCGUGGGGAUCGAACAG
rnacentral:rRNA from 1 species